rnacentral:misc_RNA from 1 species
AGUCGUAACAAGGUCUCCGUAGGUGAACCUGCGGAGGGAUCAUUACAGAGAACAUCGCCCGCAAGGGUGACUCUCCAACCCCAUGUUAAUUAUACCUUUGUUGCUUUGGCGAGCCGCUUCGGCCACCGGCUCACGCUGGUGAGUGCUCGCCAGAGGACCCAAAACUCUGUUUAUACAUGUCGUCUGAGUACUAUAUAAUAGUUAAAACUUUCAACAACGGAUCUCUUGGUUCUGGCAUCGAUGAAGAACGCAGCGAAAUGCGAUAAGUAAUGUGAAUUGCAGAAUUCAGUGAAUCAUCGAAUCUUUGAACGCACAUUGCGCCCUGUGGUAUUCCGCAGGGCAUGCCUGUUCGAGCGUCAGUACAACACUCAAGCCUAGCUUGGUCUUGGGCCUCGCCGGAAACGGCGGGCCUUAAAAGUAGUGGCGGCGCCCGCUGGGCUCUAAGCGUAGUAAUACUCCUCGCUAUAGGGACCCGGUGGAUGCUGGCCAGCAACCCCCAACUUUCUAAGUUUGACCUCGGAUCAGGUAGGGAUACCCGCUGAACUUAAGCAUAUCAAUAAGCGGAGGAA